rnacentral:snRNA from 1 species
GGAUGUGAGUGUGGUCUGGUGCGACAUCUCUCACCCCACUGAUCGUCAGGGUUGAUUCGGCUGAUCUGGCUGGCGAGGUGGGAGUCCCCUUCCUCCCUCACCACUCCACGUGCAUCCCUCCCGAAGCCGUGUGCUUGGUCAAAGACGAGACCUUCCCCGAUAGAGAAGUGGACCGUUCUGCGGUCAAGGGUAUACAAGUAGCUGCGCUCCCGGCUAGAGCCUCCAAACAAGCUCUCAAGGUCCAACACAGCAUAAACAGGUGGCAAGGCUGGAUUUGCCCCAUAGGCCAAAGUCU